rnacentral:misc_RNA from 1 species
AACAAAUCAUUCUAAUUUGGCUUUGAUAAAAUCAAAAGUGGCCAUACUUCUGAGACCGACUAAGACCAAGUUAGUCCAGUUGGAAUUAGUUUUGAAAACAUUGCAGAGAGUUGAAAAUAGACAAACCAAGUUACUAUUUGAAAAAAUAAAAAUUGCUAUGAAAAUCAGCACUUAAGCCCAAACUAUUGUAACAAUAAUGCUGUUAAAUUAGGGACAAUACCAUGGAGAAGCAUAACAGCUAGAAGGGUACUCUAUAAAGAGUAAAGAGGACAGCAGACAGACCCAAUUGGUGUUAAAGACUUACUAGUGAAACUAUAUUCCCCUGCUAUGAUAUCUUUCCCUCACCCAUGAUUCUCUCUACCUACUCAAUUUGUUGAAUGGCAACAACUACCACAAAGAUCGACCCAAAAGUCCCUCGCAUGUUAAGAAAAUUCGCUACUGCCAUGGCAAUCUCAAGCUCCCCUACUUACCUGAUGUUUGCUUCAGUUGAAAUCCAACAAAAUUUCCACCUUAAGAAUUGUCAAUCAAACAUCCAAACGAGGAUGUUUGCCAAAAAAGGGACAUUACCAGUUACUAAAAGCAGCUGCAGCACUUGACGUCCUCAAAUGAAUGGUAGCUUCUCACUUUGUACAGAAAAGCCUGCAUAUAAAUCACAAGGGCACAUAUUUCCCUGACAUUCUUCCGAUGAUUAUGCUGUUAACUACCUGAAUGCUAAACCAUUAUGAUAAUAUUUUGCUUAACUGAUGAAGGGAAGAUUGAUUCAGUUCAUGGAACUGACUAGAGACAUGUUGAUGGUGGCAAUGGCUAAGAAUAGAUGAUUGAUGGUAUGAAUUGUCUUGUUAAAAACUUUGUAUCAUGAUAUGUUACUCUCAACUGCAUUAGGAUGCCAUGUUAGGAAAUGUAAUGUAAAUCAUGAGAAUUUCACAAGCAGAAAAAUGUCUAUCCAGACAAGCAUCCCUAAUAUUGAUGUAGAAUAUGGACAAAAGGCAGAAAAGAAUUAAACAGACACACAAAUUUAACAAAAAAACUGCGAUGCACCACUUCUACAAAUGGUAAAUAUAUCUGCCCUAUUAGGUUAUCCACACAUCAACAUAUGGUGCUGACAAAUGCAUGUCCAGGAGAAAUUAGUAUAACAUGAACAGAUGGUGCGUUCAUGACAGCACUGUGUGCAUUCAUGCACAUGAGAAGAGAUGCUAAUGCUGAUGUUGAAUAUGAAAUGGAUGCAUGCAACAGCUGCAAGAUGCAUCCUAUCAUGUAUUUCUCGGUGCAUAAGGAUCAGAGUACAUCCCCUUCGAGCUACUGGUAGGUAAUAGUUGGUGGAGCUCCAUUGGCACUGGGAGAAGCAGCAGGGUGACUUGCAUCUUUCCUCUUACCAAAUGGGUUCUUUGAGUACUGUAUUCGCAUGCCAACAGAACCAGAGCUUGGGAUAACAGCACCUUGCAAACUACGGUGCACAUUGGUUGCACUGUUCACGUCUUCAAAUUCAAUAAAACAAACAGUAUGUCUUUCCUGUCUCAAAAUUUUCAUUUGCUUAAAGCCAGGUUGUACGCUGAAUAGACCCCUCAGUUCUUCCUCAUUGAUAUUCUCUCCAAGAUUACCAAUAAAUAGGGUAUUACAAGGAGGGUUAUCUUUUGUAUUCUGAACAGGUACAUAACUGCUAGGAGCUGGUAUCGGUGCAGGGGUUGGCAUUGGUACCUGAGGAACAGGAUAGCCUGCAUAUGGAUCAUAUGGAGGUGGAGCAGGGGCCAUAUACCCAUGUGGUCCCCAGACGGGGGCAGGAGGAGGGUGAAAAGGAGAUGGAGUUGUAUAAGCAGUGUGAGAAUAGUCACCACCAGUUCUCAAACGUUUACUUUGAUCAUAAGCACUAGAAUCUGCUACUAUUCCUCUUUUCACAAAUAGAUUCUUCUUUGCCAUCUCUGUAUGCAACACUGACUUGGAUUCCGCAUCAAAAACCAUGUCCUGAAGAGCGUCUUUAGCAGCAAUAGCAAGCUGGGCAGUGGAGAAGAGAGCAAAACCCAUAGGCUUUUCUCCCUUGUAGUUCACUUGUGAAGCCUCAUAUCCUGGUAGCCAUCUCAAUAAGUUCUGAAGCUCUCUCUCCUUCACAUCUUCAGGAAGCCCCGUAAUGAAUAUUGUUCGAACCUCAUCGUGCGUAGGACCGCGAUUGCUAUUAUCAACAAGGACCGGAGGAGGAUGAUGGAUAGGAGGAGGAGGAGGGGCAGCAGCCGCAGCGGGUGGAGGCGGAGGAGCAGCUGCCGGCGGCCACUGCUGGUGGUAUGGGUGGAUUCCAGCUCCGGCCAUGUGAUUGGUAGUGGUUGUGUUAGUCAAUAACAAUAAAACCCUAGACGCCACCACAAG